UAUUGCUGUCUCAUUGCAUGAUUUCACACGUACAGAUACGUACAGAAUUCUGAAUUCCAAUAGAAUAGAAUUUUUCCAAUCUAAACAAAUCCUGAUAAGAAAUGUUCAAUAUCGCAUCAGCUGGGUUGAGUCCUUCUCACUAUCGCUGCCCUUAAGUUUUUUAACUGAAUAUUUAAAAUUUAAUUUUUCAGCAAAUGAAGCGAAAACCAGCCAAACCCCUAGUCCGAAAGGCCAUCUAAAUAAGCGAUGAUAUCCAUGCAGAACCUCACGGUACACGUACACAAAUACCAAACCUAUCCCAUUACUUCGCCACGGUUGGGGGGGUUGGUGAACGCUUAACGCCGAUGCCAUUCUCACCCCAAAAAGGCCUUGAUGGAAAAGGUUUCGAGGAGCCAAGCUGGGGGCAAAAGCCCUUCCUGCUUCUUCUGUUGCAAGUUGAAUGACCCUCCUUUUGGUGCAGCCAUUGCAUGACGACAGCGAAAAGCCACGAAAGGCGACCGAAAGGUGAAACUAGUACCAUUUAUCCACCCCCCCCCCCCCUCCCCCCUUGAUUGCUGCUGCUGGGUGAGUGGGUGGCCAUGUAGCGUGGGUGAGAAAACCACUGGCAAAGCGGCUGGAGGAAAAGGAAGAAGCAGAAGAAGGGUAUUGAAAGCAUUGAAAAAGCGGGACACGGGCGUAAAAGUCAUCCGGCUGCAGAAAGGCUGCUAGGUAUUACCUAAUCCACCAAGCCUCUGCGCAUUCGAUUGCGCGAAAGUUCAACCUCCUGAGCUCUGCCCACGUCGUCGUCGUCGGUUGUCUAGGAGAUUGCAACCACACCCGGAAGAGUGUGUUGCCUGCACAGGCGACCAAGAUCACAGCAGCCUGUGCGCGGGACCGAGACACGAUUCUAUCUCUCCGUGGCAGUUGUCCGGGCAGCACUCUAUCUACCCCGCAGAUCGACACUUUCCCUUUCGAUUGGUGAAGUCGUCGGCGUGCAUUUGGGACGAAAGUGGCAGUACAUCGGCGGAACAGGCAAGCAAUUGCUGCGGGCGAAGUUGCACGUUAGCAUUAUUGAAUCGUUUCGACGUUGCUAUUUUUAGGUUUGGUGAAGAGAUGAAACCCAAAAGAGGCAAUGAUCAAAAACCCAUCCAUACAUCAGCAGCGAUGCAGUCGUUUUGAAUGCUCCAGAUGUGGCGUUGGCGUUCCGGGUCCAUCUGCAAUCUGUUCCGUGUUUCGGACAUCUAAGUUCUCUCUCGCAAUCCGGCCCCAAAUAUGAUGUAAGCGUCUAGUUGGUAAGUGCAUACGGUACAAUUAGGCUGCUGCGUAAUACUGAUUCGAUUCGCAAACAGCAAAAAAAAAACUGCAUUUUCCAUUCGUUCAGAGUGUUGCAUGGGCUUAGAGAUAGGGAGAGAGAGUGAGAUGCGUAAGACAGGAAGUGUGGUUUGCGGUGUCUCCGGCCAGCCGAGGCACGGAAGCUUUUAAUGAUUGGGUACCCGCCUUCACUGAUCGAUGCAACACAUACGGAUGCUAUCUUAUCGUCCACCCCUGCACCGCAGGCUACACAACACCGGUAACCGGUUCCGUGACGUGUAGUACUCGCCAGUGUCAUCGGAAGACAUCUUGAGUAGAGCGCGCGCGCGCGCUCGUAAGUGGAACGAGCAUGACCACCGGGACAAUCUAAUCAACCCUCAGUGCCAACCCGCCGCGUGUUUUGCCCCGUGUUUCCCUUUUGGAAGAGAUGAUACGAGCACGAUAAAGGUUGGAGCGGCGGUCUGUGUUGUCCCGGCAGUUGCCCGAUAGCGAUCGGGGCCGAUGGUUUAUCGAUGUUGGUCAACAGGAUUCCCCCAUUUGUGGCGUGUCUUGUUAUUUCGGGGAGAGGAUCCCCCUUGAUUGAAGUGUCUGCUUCAGACUUUGUUUCCAACGACGUCCCAACGACUCUUCAGCAACGUCAGCAGAUUAUGGUCGCGUUUUGAGAAAAAGGCUUUUGCGAGACAAAUUCCACCAACUCCGGUCCGAGGCGGCGACAAACCGUUCAGCAACGACACACCAACUAAUGAAUACCAGUUCUUGCCAACUCCAUGUCCACUAUGUCCAAGAAAGUGGAUUCAUCCUCCCUUCCUCCGCACUAAAUUGUCCAAGGCGGAAACUUGGCUGGAAUUGGCACGACAGGACCAGGCAAAGUCCACCUUUACAUGUUGGGUGCAUGAUUUUUGUUGUUUUUUUCCACUGGUGGUGCCUGCCUGCCGAUCCGAAACAUGGUCAACCUUGAGACGGGGUAAACCGGCUUUGGUUGGUAGCCAACACGACGGGGCUAGGCACACGAUCCCCUGCUUGGACCAUUGGGCUUGGACCCUUAGGCUUGUUGGACCUAGGGAGUGGAAGGGAGGACGCAGAGAUGCUUGGAGGCAUUCUUAUCAACCACUAGCCAGAAUAUCCGCCUUUCAAGUCCGCCCGAUUGGUGCGUGCGAGUUGUGUGUUAGUGUGCCGUGACGCCAUUAAAAGCGUGGAGGAUUUAAUAAAUUGCACUACAGGGAAUCGCUUCAGCGUUAGGUGCCUGUUUAGGGUUUAAGGUUGGAAGCUAGUAUCAUUGCGCGUCUGUUUGCUGGAGCUCCAAAGGGUCACACAACGAGACGUAUUUAUUCACCAAGUCCCAUUGAUAAUUGUGAUGAAAGAAAGAUCAUUGAAUCAAGUUUUUAGAAUGCAUAAUGAGAUGAGCCCAAUAUAAGCUCCGAUAAAGUGUCUGCAUACGCGUAUUCUAGUUACGGGCUUGGGCGUCGUAUAAAUUUGAAGCUUAAUUUUAGCGCCUCGAAGAUUCGCAGUCGUGCCUAAGAAUAUUUAAAUCCAUUGGUCAACCGUCAACCGGGCAAAAAUACAUGUUCCUUCAACUCCA